rnacentral:pre_miRNA from 1 species
UUAACUCAAAUUUGUAUGGAGUUGGAAAGUUUACCUACGUUUGCCGCUAGGGGCGCUGUUCCAACUCCAUACAAAUUUAAGUUA